UACGUAGGUGGCAAGCGUUGUCCGGAUUUACUGGGCGUAAAGAGCGCGCAGGCGGUCGUUCAAGUCGCGUGUGAAAGCCCCCGGCUCAACUGGGGAGGGUCACGCGAUACUGAUCGACUCGAAGGCAGGAGAGGGUAGUGGAAUUCCCGGUGUAGUGGUGAAAUUCGUAGAUAUUGGGAGGAACACCAGCGGCGAAGGCGGCGACCUGGUCAGAUACUGACGCUGAGGCGCGAAAGCGUGGGGAGCAAACGGG
rnacentral:rRNA from 1 species